CAGUAGAGGCUGCAGUGAACCAAGAUCGUGCCACCCCACGAGUGACAGAGUGAGGCCAUGUCUCAAAAAAAUAAAAAGGUGCCCUCAAAUCAAGUCUCUUUCUAGUAACCAGGUUGAAGUAAUGGCAGAUAGUUACUCCAACUGCCCCAAAUGACACAGCCAGAGAGUUUCUUUGUUAAUACAACAGUCCUUCCUGAGGCUUGGGGGUCUCAUGGGCUGGGGGCUAGCACAAGAAACAGUUGAGACACACGUAGAUGUGUGUGCUGUGCAUCUGGGGCUGGGAUCUGGGGACCUCCAGGUCAAAAUCCUCCAUUGCGUCUCACCCCACCCUGCUAAACUGCAGAGUAACUCAAGAUGACCCAAGCCUUUGCUGGAGGAUUUCCAAGCCCUCCACUUGAUUCCAGGUAGUCUGGGCCCAGAUCAGUGUUCGCAGACUCUGUGGCACAUAGAGGUGCCCCUCCCCUCCCUGCCACAGCUGCCGGGUGAGGGCUGAGGAUGCAGAGACUCCCGGGUGAUUCAGAAAGCUCCUCACAGCAAGGUCAGCCCUUUCAGUUUGAAGAUGCGUGGGAAAAAUCUCUUGCCACCCACACACAUCUGAGGAACAAACAGAUGGUGAAACCAGUAGCCCAAGAUGAGAAAACGGACUUUUUUUUGAGACAGCAGUUGAAGCUGAAGCCUCAAAAGCCAGGGGGAAAGCAUAGCGAUUAUGAAAGACAUUCAAAGUGGGUUAGGGGUGAGAGAAAGGUCAGCCUUUUACUUUUCCCACACCCGCUGGUUUCUGAAGAAGGAUGGUAACGCGAGCAGAAGGGUGAUGGCCAACCUCUGGGCUUUGAUGUGUGUCCCCUCCUCGCCCGCCCCCAUCCUGCAAGCUCUGGGGAGGUCGGAGACUAGUGUGGUUUCCUCACGCCUCCCACCAUGCUGGCACUGAGGUUAUCUCAGAGUUGACAGCCCCAUCUGAAGCCUGGAAUGAAUUAAGUCUUUUUCAGCUAAAAAAUGAACAAAACCUGAGAUGCGUGAGUGUCCUUACCAAAAGGAAGCCCUCUUUUCUAGAACAGGUCUGUCUUCAGGCCUGUGGGUCCAUAGAAUCAUCACAGAAAAAGUGAUUUCAGGAGGCCUCCCCCGCCUUCUGUUCCCAAGGCCGACUCUGACUGAGCCUCGGAGGAGAGAAGGAAGCCAUUUCCGGGAGGCCAAAACAUCCAUCUUCCAGGCUCUUCCUGUAAGUCAACCUGCUUUUACAGAUGAGGAACCAAGACCCAGGGAAGAUGGGAAGGCAGAGAAAAUCCAUCAAUUUGUACCCUACCCACCCUUUGGUGACUUUUCCAAGAAGCUGGGCUAAGUUCCAGUAAGAGAAAGCUCU